rnacentral:rRNA from 1 species
AUUGAACGCUGGCGGCAGGCCUAACACAUGCAAGUCGAACGAGUGGCGGACGGGUGAGUAAUGUCUGGGAAACUGCCUGAUGGCGGGGGAUAACUACUGGAAACGGUAGCUAAUACCGCAUACCAUCAGAUGUGCCCAGAUGGGAUUAGCUAGUUGGUGGGGUAACGGCUCACCAAGGCGACGAUCCCUAGCUGGGCUGAGAGGAUGACCAUACACACUGGAACUGAGACACGGUCCAGACUCCUAAGGGCGGCAGCAUUGGGGAAUAUGGCACAAUGGGCGAAAGCCUGAUGCAGCCAUGCCGCGUGUAUGAAGAAGUCCUUCGGGUUGUAAAGUACUUUCAGCGGGGAGGAGUUACCCGCAGAAGGAGCACCGGCUAACUCCGUGCCAGCAGCCGCGGUAAUUC